rnacentral:tRNA from 2 species
GUUAAGAUGGCAGAGCCCGGUAAUUGCAAAAGACCUAAACCCUUUCUACCAGAGGUUCAAUCCCUCUUCUUAAC